GAAUUCACUAGUGAUUCAGGCCUAACACAUGCAAGUCGAGCGGUAGAGAGAAGCUUGCUUCUCUUGAGAGCGGCGGACGGGUGAGUAAUGCCUAGGAAUCUGCCUGGUAGUGGGGGAUAACGUUCGGAAACGGACGCUAAUACCGCAUACGUCCUACGGGAGAAAGCAGGGGACCUUCGGGCCUUGCGCUAUCAGAUGAGCCUAGGUCGGAUUAGCUAGUUGGUGAGGUAAUGGCUCACCAAGGCUACGAUCCGUAACUGGUCUGAGAGGAUGAUCAGUCACACUGGAACUGAGACACGGUCCAGACUCCUACGGGAGGCAGCAGUGGGGAAUAUUGGACAAUGGGCGAAAGCCUGAUCCAGCCAAGGCGCGUGUGUGAAGAAGGUCUUCGGA
rnacentral:rRNA from 1 species